AUGAGGUGGGAUGCGGAGAUAGGCCUCGCACACGACAAUGAAUGUCGUGAUGUUGACAAUGAAGUUGGGGGCCAGGUCAUGGAAAUCCAGCCCGUAGUAAAACAUCAGUCCACGGACGAAUGGGUGAAGAGGGAACCCCAACCCGCGGACGAAAUGUGUAAGAAACACAACCCUCUCGUGGGGCUCUGGAGUAGGGACGAUCUGUCCCUUGGCCGGGAGUCGAUGAGCAAUCUCCUUGGCCAGAUAUCCGGCCUCCCGGAGCUCCUUGAUAUCCUUCUUCUUGACAGAGGAGGCCAUCCACUUGCCUCCAGCUCCGGAUCCGGACAUAUUUGGAGUGCUUUCUCGGACGAGGAAAAGCUAAAGCUUGGGCGCUGGAGCUCAGGGACGGAAGGGCUAAGGAGGAACCGAGGUGUGGGUGAAGAAAGGGAAUCCUUAUCUCCUUAUAAAGGCCAUGAAUAUCAAGCGCCUCCCCACUCGCCUUAA
rnacentral:rRNA from 1 species